rnacentral:rRNA from 1 species
AGAGUUUGAUCCUGGCUCAGGACGAACGCUUGCGACGUGCCUAAGAAAUGCAAGUCGAACGGGGUUGCCUUCGGGCAGCCUAGUGGCGAACGGUCGCGUAACACGUGGGCAACCUGCCCUGAAGCGGGGGACAACGGGGGGAAACUUCCGCUAAUACCGCAUACGAAUUGCUCCGGCAUCGGGGAGGAUUCAAAGCCGCAAGGCACUUCAGGAUGGGCCCGCGGCCUAUCAGCUUGUUGGUGGGGUAACGGCCUACCAAGGCGACGACGGGUAGCUGGUCUGAGAGGACGAUCAGCCGGAUUGGGACUGAGAUACGGCCCAGACUCCUACGGGGGGCAGCAAUUAGGAAUCUUGCGCAAUGGGCGAAAGCCUGACGCAGCGACGUCGCGUGAAGGAUGAAAUCUUUCGGGAUGUAAACUUCUUUUAUCGGGGAAGAAACAAAUGACGGUACCCGAUGAAUAAGCCCCGGCUAACUACGUGCCAGCAGCCGCGGUAAUACGUAGGGGGCGAGCGUUGUCCGAAGUUACUGGGCGUAAAGAGCGCGUAGGCGGGUUCUUAAGUGAGGGGUGAAAGGUUCAGGGCUCAACCCGGACACUGCCUUUCAUACUGGGAACCUUGAGUGCGGGAGAGGCGAGUGGAAUGGCUGGUGUAGCGGUGAAAUGCGUAGAUAUCAGUCGGAACACUCAUGGCGAAGGCAGCUCGCUGGCCUGCAACUGACGCUGAGGCGCGAAAGCGUGGGGAGCAAACAGGAUUAGAUACCCUGGUAGUCC